AAUGGGGAAACCCAGUGUGUUUCGACACACUAUCAUUAACCGAAUCCAUAGGUUAAUGAGGCGAACCGGGGGAACUGAAACAUCUAAGUACCCCGAGGAAAAGAAAUCAACCGAGAUUCCCCAAGUAGCGGCGAGCGAACGGGGAGCAGCCCAGAGCCUGAAUCAGUGUGUGUGUUAGUGGAAGCGUCUGGAAAGGCGCGCGAUACAGGGUGACAGCCCCGUACACAAAAAUGCACAUAUUGUGAGCUCGAUGAGUAGGGCGGGACACGUGGUAUCCUGUCUGAAUAUGGGGGGACCAUCCUCCAAGGCUAAAUACUCCUGACUGACCGAUAGUGAACCAGUACCGUGAGGGAAAGGCGAAAAGAACCCCGGCGAGGGGAGUGAAAAAGAACCUGAAACCGUGUACGUACAAGCAGUGGGAGCACGCUUAGGCGUGUGACUGCGUACCUUUUGUAUAAUGGGUCAGCGACUUAUAUUCUGUAGCAAGGUUAACCGAAUAGGGGAGCCGAAGGGAAACCGAGUCUUAACUGGGCGUUAAGUUGCAGGGUAUAGACCCGAAACCCGGUGAUCUAGCCAUGGGCAGGUUGAAGGUUGGGUAACACUAACUGGAGGACCGAACCGACUAAUGUUGAAAAAUUAGCGGAUGACUUGUGGCUGGGGGUGAAAGGCCAAUCAAACCGGGAGAUAGCUGGUUCUCCCCGAAAGCUAUUUAGGUAGCGCCUCGUGAAUUCAUCUCCGGGGGUAGAGCACUGUUUCGGCAAGGGGGUCAUCCCGACUUACCAACCCGAUGCAAACUGCGAAUACCGGAGAAUGUUAUCACGGGAGACACACGGCGGGUGCUAACGUCCGUCGUGAAGAGGGAAACAACCCAGACCGCCAGCUAAGGUCCCAAAGUCAUGGUUAAGUGGGAAACGAUGUGGGAAGGCCCAGACAGCCAGGAUGUUGGCUUAGAAGCAGCCAUCAUUUAAAGAAAGCGUAAUAGCUCACUGGUCGAGUCGGCCUGCGCGGAAGAUGUAACGGGGCUAAACCAUG
rnacentral:rRNA from 1 species